AAAAAACCUAUCCCUACCACCUUCAUCAGACAUCAAGCGUCUUUCUUCUGACACAUCCCAUGCUUUGGGCUGCCCAAAACCCAUUUGUCAUAAUGAUAUCCAUGCUUCCCGUCCAUUAAUUCUCCCUCUUUAUCCCUCCACACAUGCACAUUUAGAUCAGCAGCACCUAGUCUCAUUGUGAUGUCGUCUUCUUCUUUCCUUCAAACUAAACACCAUAGCAGUUUCAAUAUG
rnacentral:lncRNA from 1 species